rnacentral:rRNA from 1 species
AUGGCUGUCGUCAGCUCGUGCUGUGAAGUGUCGGGUUAAGUCCCUUAACGANCNCAACCCUUAUCGUUAGUUGCUAANAGGUAAUCGUGAGGACUCUACGAGACUGCCGGUGUUAAACCGGAGGAAGGUGGGGAUGACGUCAAGUCNGCAUGGCCUUUAUGCCUAGGGCUGCACACGUGCUACAAUGGCAAGUACAGAACGAUGCAAUACCGCGAGGUGGAGCAAAUCCGUAAAGCUUGCCNCNGUUCGGAUUGCAGGCUGCAACUCGCCUGCAUGAAGUUGGAAUCGCUAGUAAUCGCGGAUCAGCANGC